CAGUGUCCUAGGGUGGCUUCAGGCUGCACAGACAUCUCCCUUAAAGAGUCUGUGCUGCAAUGCAGAUGGAGCAGUGGCAGACAAGUGGCUGAGGGUCGGAGCUGUCCAAUGUCUGCUUCUCAGAGUGAGGAAUGAACGAUGAGGGAGAAAGCCUGCAGGCAGGGCAUCGUGGCCAGGCACCCAGGAAACCCAGGGGAACCAGAGCCUGUGUCUGUUACAGGAGGGCCAGAAAAGCGGGGCCUCUGGGAACAGUGGAAAGCCAUAAGGGGGUAGUGGAACAGGCUGUCUGGGGGUCUCGAGGUGAAUCAGCUUACUGUCCUGUGAGUGAGAGCAAAAUCAGUGGGGCUGACAGCAGCUGUGGGAGCUUGGCAAACAGGUUUUUUUUUGGGGGGGGGGAAGCAUCAAUUCUUAUCUUUCCAAAGAGGCUUAAUUAUACAUAAAACAAAAUAGAAAAUUAAACGGUGUGGCUGAGCAGGUUACUCACUAUGUGUGACAGGUGACAGCGCUGUUUUCUUAACUAGUCUGGUGCAGCACCCCAGCAGGAGGGUACACUGGCUGCUGCUUCUGUCUUAAGGAGAGACACUGUGGGAUUUUUAGAGCCAGGGGAGGGUUAGGGGGUUCCAGAAGGCCAGUAGGGAGGUGGAUGGCGUGCAUCUGGGUCUCUGGUCCUGCAGUGCCCCUCAACACUGGCACUUUCCCUUCAGUCCACCCAAUUUGCAUAGCAAGUGUUCCUGCAGUCCCCACGUCACUCAAAUAUUUGUCAGCCAGCCCCCACAACACUCUGCUAGACAUGACUUAGACCCAAAGCCCCCUCUGGGCUUUUAAAUGUCUCCCUGGAACCCCUGCUCACCUCCUAGACUCCGUUUUUACUUGUUGAUUAAAAAGAAAGCCAGCAUUUAUUAUGGAGGUUUUUUUCCCCAAACAACACAAGCAGAGAAACCAAUAUGCUCUUAAACAGCACAGUUUUAACUUUCAUUUCACCAUCUAGACGCAGUGCCCACCGAAUUCAUCAAUCCGUCUGCUUCCCCUGAGCUCUGAGCCCUCCCUCAAUUCUCAUUGCCCCCCGUCCCCACUUUGAACUGCUUUGCAGCUAAUUCUAGAGAUCAUAUCGUGUCUUCCGUGCAUCGUAGGUUAUUUAUCUCUGAAAAAGGGCUGUCUCCCUUCAUAAAAACAUAAAGAUGACUUCCAUGGUCACAAUUUGUUUUAAUAAACAUGCGUGUGUCACCAUUAUCACAGUUUAAAAAUUAACAGCUUUUCCUUCCUGUCAUCUAACCUCUGUGCAGUUUCCAAAUCUUCCUGACGGACUCAUACAUUUCUUUUAUGAUUGGCUCAUGCAGAUCUCUGUCCAAAGGCCCCCUGCACUUUCAAGGGGCCUGUGGGGUCUCCAAAGGUAAGUACCUCUUAAAAUCCACGCAUUUAAACAAACACCACCGUAGUAGCCUCCGUUUUCUCCCUGAGAACGGGGCCAGUGCUGCGUGCCUCCCAGAGCCAGCAGGCAAGUUGCAAACAGGUACAUACAUAUCCCCCAGCCCCUAUCAAACGAAAAAUAGACACGGCAGCCAACAGCUGUUACUUGAAUUAUCCGUUUUUCCCGGAAACCUCUAAAAGAGUUGGAGUGGAUAGACAAGACAGAGCUGGCCUCCGUCCACAAAACAAAAGGCGCCUGGCAGGCCAGGGCCCCUGAGUGAUUUAGACAGCAUUUUUCCACAUCUCAACAAUGCAGCCUGCAGCCCAGGGGGCUCAGUUCAGGGACCCCCACAGGGUCCUGGUCCACUAGAUGGCACUCUCAGCUGCGCGUCCCCGACAGACCCCCUUCCCCAAGGUGCUCAGGCCACAGCCACAGCCGCAACAUCCCAGGCAAUUCUAAAACAUCAUCUCCACAUGUCGUACAAAACGCAGUGGCUUUUCUCCCUGCAUCCAUCCCAGCCCAGCAGCAGCAACGCAGAGAGCGAACAUUUCAUAACAAUUUGCUGAGACCAAACACUAGACAGCCCACUCCCCCUUUUAAAUCUCCGUCCCAGCCACAUCUGAUUGCUCAUUAUUUUACAGAUGAGAGGAUGCUGAGGGGUCAAGUAUUUGCCCAAGAUCGGCUAGUAAACAGGACCCGGGGCUCCAACCCAGGGCUGCUCGUUCUCAGAAGAUUUUGCCCUGUUCUCAGCAUCCAGACCUAUUGCCUGGGACAGAAUGGGAGGGAGGAUGUCUGGUACCUAGUCGUAUCCACACCCGAGGAAUGUCCCCCGUUUGCACAGCAGGCUGCACGGUGCUUGCCCGAUUGGAGGCCCUAAUGUGGAUGGAGAUCAGCCUGCUGGUGGAGACCUUGGCAGUGACCACUGUGGGCAAUGAGCCAUGGGCCAACAAUAUAAAGAUGAUGGCAACUUACUAAAGGUUUCGCCUCUGCAGAUUCAGUGACAUGCACCUGCUGUUGCCUGUCUGAGGCUCUGUGGGCCAGGAGAAAAGGCACUCAUUUUGCGCUCGACUUCACCAAGUGGAUGUGCCCCCUCCAAGUGAAUCAUCCUGGGAUGCCAAAGGUUAGGUUUUUCCUCUGUGGGUAAGAAAAGAAGAGACUGAAGAGAUUUAUGUGAGUAAUAGCUUGAAUUUUAUGUUCUUGGGUUCAGAGGUUGGCUUAUGGGUGUUGCUUGCAUUUUUCCAAAGUAAUAAUGGAUAUAAUUCAUAAGUAAAACCAACAAAGGCUAGUGGUAAGCCUUGACAGGAAUGUGCUCAGACUGGGGGUUGAUAAUUAAUAUGAUUUAAAAUUCAAUAAAAGAAGACGAGUGACAUUUCAUUCCCUUUAAGGGUUGCUCAAUAUUGUUUCUUUUUUGCUGCAAUUCAUUUAUAUACUUUUUCACUGGUAAUACUUAGGCUAUUAAUUUCUUGAGGAGAAAAGGUACAGAACAAGGAACAAAAUUGUCUGUUCAUUCUAGUUGUGUAGUAAGAUCAUGGUUAUUCAUUUGUUCACGGCACCAUCUUUAAGGUCCAAAGUGGGCAAACAUAGACCUAUGGUGAAUACGGAGAUGGAAGGCCUAAGACCACUGAAAAAGUAUACGCAUACUGGGGGAAAGCGUCCAGACCUUUUAAUUAUGUCUGGAAUGGACGCUUGACAGAACAAUGUCUUAUUCAGUGAUGUUGCUCUUGGGCUUUUGAUUUAUUAAUUUAUCGUAUGUAUCAGCACAUCAGUGAAUAAAGCAGUGAGCAAAGGGAGAAAAUAGAUCCAUAGACAUAUAGAGCAGUGAGUUUUCUGAGAUGUAUGAAUCAAGGAGUUUUGACUAAACUGCAACUCAGAAAAAUGUCAGAACAGGAAAGGCCCAGCUUGUUUCUACUGUGAUGUGUGCUUCUUGCACAAGCUGGCCCCAGGCAAUGACCUUGGCCUUCUGUGAAUUGUAUUCGAAGGGGGCAGAUGUAAGAAUGAAUAAAGUUGGCCAAUUUUUCAAAGAAAGAAAAAGAAAAAGGGAAAAGAAACAAGUAUGGUUAUCAUUCAUUGUUGGUACUAUCUGACACAGAGCUUCAUAAUACUCACAGAUGAAGUCUUUUUGACCAUUUCCCUGAAGGACAUGUCCUAUGCCAUCAACUAUGGUGUUGUUGGCUGUUAGGACUGUGUCGGGUAUCUGGCCACUGGUUUUAUUUAGAUAAGGAUACAUUAUUUGUAUUAAAAUAAUUGUUUGAAUAAUUGUCUAAUUGGAAGCAGGCUAAGCAUGGAAGAUGUUUGCGCUCGUGGUAGGGAGCUUUAUUGAAUUAAUUGUUUGCCAAAGUCUAUUCCCUCAAAAAGGACCUUGUCUGUUGUAUUGCUGCAUCCUUCCAUAUUGUGAUGAGCAUGUCUAUAGAUACAGUUAAAGUUCUGGUCCAUUGUCUCCACUUCUGUUGGUUUUAAUGUGCCCUUAAAUUUGUACUAAGAAAUGACUUCGUAUUUCAUUUGAUUACUUUAAGGGUGUAAACCCCAUGGCAGUUAGGAGGAAGUUUUGUGAACAAAAAUAUGCAUUAAAAUUUCAUUUUAUUA